CUUCUCGAAUCUAUUGAGCAACAUUGAUCUAUGUUAUGUGUAUGCAUAUUUAGAUUUCAAAAACCAAAGGAUUUCAAAAUCCAAACUUGAUUAGCUCAUUGGGAUCAUAGUGAAAAACAUUGGUGGAACCUUCACAUGUAAAAUGUAUAAAUUUUGGUCUAACAAAACUGUUUCGUGUGAUCUAGAAAAUAGAAGUAUUUCAUUUUCUAAAGCAUACAAAUAUUGUAAACAAAGAAUUUCAAAGAACACUACGUUUUAAAUACAAAUUUGCAUGAUGGAAAGAAAGUAUACACUGAGGAGAUGCAUAGAGUAUGAAGUGAGUUUUUCCUAACCUUGCAAACUACAUUUCACGACUUUAUCGUUUGGAAGAGCAUUGGCAGCCCACCAACUCCAGCGGUUUCAAGAACAAUGCAGCUACCGAGCGUAAUUCUGGCAGGAAAUCCUUUUCUCUUCACGAACUCUGGCAGAAUAUGCUAAGGAGAAGAAUUUCAGGAAAUUUAUGGAUUGAGAGCGAAUCAAGUACCCCGGCUGCUUCUAUUCAAAAUGGGAAUAUCCCAUGAAAGUUUCAGCAGAAAUGUCUUCAUUUUUCAAACUUAUCUUGGUUCAAUUUAUUGGUGAAUUACCCAUUACUACAGGGAAGGAAAUGUGAUCGCCAAUUCGAUUGCAAAGGAUUGUGCUAGAUCUCAAAAUUCCUGUUAUUAGUCAUCAUAUCCAAGCUUUUUCUAUCAUGAUGUAUUACGGGAUAGUUUGGACAGACCUCGAUAAUGGUUUGAUUGAUAAUCUCUUGGAACUUUAGUACCUAUAAUAUCAUGUGUUUAUUUGGCUAGGAUGGUCAA